rnacentral:rRNA from 1 species
AGAACGAACGCUGGCGGCAUGCCUAACACAUGCAAGUCGAACGAGGCCAUUGACUUCGGUUGGUGGUUUAGUGGCGCACGGGUGCGUAACGCGUGGGAAUCUGCCCUUGGGUUCGGAAUAACAGUUAGAAAUGACUGCUAAUACCGGAUAAUAUCGCGAGAUCAAAGAUUUAUCGCCUGAGGAUGAGCCCGCGUAGGAUUAGCUAGUUGGUGAGGUAAUGGCUCACCAAGGCGACGAUCCUUAGCUGGUCUGAGAGGAUGAUCAGCCACACUGGGACUGAGACACGGCCCAGACUCCUACGGGAGGCAGCAGUGGGGGAAUAUUGGACAAUGGGCGAAAGCCUGAUCCAGCAAUGCCGCGUGAGUGAUGAAGGCCUUAGGGUUGUAAAGCUCUUUUGUGCGGGAAGAUAAUGACGGUACCGCAAGAAUAAGCCCGGCUAACUUCGUGCCAGCAGCCGCGGU